rfam:Gossypium hirsutum cultivar TM-1 chromosome 20, whole genome shotgun sequence
CCCGAACCUGGGUGAUCUAUCCAUGACUAGGAUGAAGCUUGGGAGAAACUAAAUGGAGGUCCGAACCGACUGAUGUUGAAGAAUCAGCAGAUGAGUUGUGGUUGGAGGUGAAAUGCCACUCGAACUCAGAGCUAGUUGG